CACGGACCGCACGAACGUUAUUCGGUAUCACUGGGCUUAAAGGGUGCGUAGGCGGCUUGGCAAGUUGGGUGUGAAAUCUCGGAGCUUAACUCCGAAACUGCAUUCGAUACUGCCGUGCUUGAGGACUGGAGAGGAGACUGGAAUUUACGGUGUAGCGGUGAAAUGCGUAGAUAUCGUAAGGAAGACCAGUGGCGAAGGCGGGUCUCUGGACAGUUCCUGACGCUGAGGCACGAAGGUCAGGGGAGCAAACGGG
rnacentral:rRNA from 1 species